rnacentral:rRNA from 1 species
AUUGAACGCUGGCGGCGGGCCUAAUACAUGCAAGUCGAACGAGCGGCGGACGGGUGAGUAAUGUCUGGGAAACUGCCUGAUGGCGGGGGAUCACUAAUGGAAACCGUAGGUAAAACCGCAUUCCAUCCGAUUUGCCCAGAUGGGAUUGGCUAGUAGGUGGGUUAACGGCUCACCUAGGCGACGAGCCUUAGCUGGUCUGAGAGGAUGACCAGCCACAUUGGAAUGGGGCAACGGCCCAAACCCCUACGGGGGGAAGCAGUGGGGAAUAUUGGACAAUGGGCGCAAGCCGGCUGAAGACAGGCCGCGUGUUUGAAGAAGGCCUUCGGUUGGUAAAGUACGUUCAGCGGGGAGGCGUUACCCGCAGAAGAAGCACCGGCUAACUCCGUGCCAGCAGCCGCGGUAAUAC